GCAGCAGCCGCGGUAAUACGAAGGGUGCAAGCGUUACUCGGAAUUACUGGGCGUAAAGCGUGCGUAGGUGGUUGUUUAAGUCUGCUGUGAAAGCCCUGGGCUCAACCUGGGAAUUGCAGUGGAUACUGGGCGACUAGAGUAAGGUAGAGGAUAGUGGAAUUUCCGGUGUAGCAGUGAAAUGCGUAGAGAUCGGAAGGAACAUCUGUGGCGAAGGCGGCCAUCUGGGACAACACUGACGCUGAGGCACGAAAGCGUGGGGAGCAAACAGGAUUAGAUACCCCGGUAGUCCCUGUCUCUUAUAC
rnacentral:rRNA from 1 species